rnacentral:lncRNA from 1 species
GGUCAAAGCAGAAAGUCUGAUGCAUGUGGUGAAUAUUUGAACCUCCUCAAAGCUAUCAUAGGUUUGUAUCCAGCCCCAUGGUAGACUGUGCACCAUAACUAAGAUCAGAUAACAUAUCUAAAAAGAAAAAGACUUUACACAGAACAAGUACAUAGUAAACAAUGAGGUGAGCAAGUAGAAAACAUCACCUCAUUUAUUCUGGAGCCCUGUAAACCAGAUUCUAAUGCUAAUGAGUUUUAAAUUUACAGAAAUCCAAUCUUCUAGCUGUUUGAGCUCUCAUGUGUUUAACUGUAUGUCAAAUAGCACACUCCUUUAAGAGACUUUAAAAAAACAUGGAUCGCAUUAUUUGAAACAAACAAAGAAUAUGCACUACAAUUGUCUCGUUGUUUCAGAGGUAACAGCUUACUUGCUCCAGAAAAGAGAAAAUAGUGGAAGCAGAGGAACCUUAUCAUCCUUCCUUUGGUUAUUGGCACUGCUAUAUCUUUAUGGGUAAACUAAAAUACGUGGUUGAUAUGGCCAAUAAUUUUGACAACUGCAGAAUGUGAAGACAAAUAAUAGGGCAAAAAUCUACUUCUUCAGGAACCUGCCUUGAUCUUUCCAUGCAAUAUGCAGCUAUUUGCUCUUCUUACACAAACAUUUGCAAUUUACUGAGGAGAAUGUGAGAUGCAUCUCUCAUGCCUAUCAAGCACCAGGAGAACUUUACAGAUUACUGCCUGCCGAAGGAUUCCAGGUCCCUGGAGCUUGCGCAUGUUUCAACAGAAGGUGCUUGCAUGCCAUUCGUUAAUACGGCGCCAUACGGGACUCAGUGUGACCACUGCAAUAUAACCAGUAAGUAACACACGCAGCGUGCACAGGGCUGCGCCAAAUUCCCCGUCUGUUGUGUGGGACUCGUAUCCCAUGGAUUGAGACGUACCUUGAUGAAACUGCCUUGUCAUGAAAUGAUAAUAUUUGUGGAUCACCAUGCACAGAAAACAUCCUAUCGAGAAUGUGGGAGGUCCACUGAAAUAUUCAGUGUUUCUUGGCAUUGUAAUUGGUUAGAAUGGAUGUGAGUAUUAAUGUUUAGAGUUCUUUCCCUCCAACAUGUGCCAAUUUAUAGGAAUAACUCCACAGAGAGAAAAUUACUUUUUCAAAGAAUAUUAGUUUGGGGUAGUGUAAUUAAAAAGCCAUGUGGAAGUUAUUUCAUCUGCAUUUGGAAGGUAAAUGUACAGGCU